rnacentral:rRNA from 1 species
GGGAACAUACCCUUUUCUACGGAAUAGCUCUGGGAAACUGGAAUUAAUACCGUAUACGCCCUACGGGGGAAAGAUUUAUCGGGGAAGGAUUGGCCCGCGUUGGAUUAGCUAGUUGGUGGGGUAAAGGCCUACCAAGGCGACGAUCCAUAGCUGGUCUGAGAGGAUGAUCAGCCACAUUGGGACUGAGACACGGCCCAAACUCCUACGGGAGGCAGCAGUGGGGAAUAUUGGACAAUGGGCGCAAGCCUGAUCCAGCCAUGCCGCGUGAGUGAUGAAGGCCUUAGGGUUGUAAAGCUCUUUCACCGAUGAAGAUAAUGACGGUAGUCGGAGAAGAAGCCCCGGCUGACUUCGUGCCAGCAGCCGCGGUAAUACGAAGGGGGCUAGCGUUGUUCGGAAUUACUGGGCGUAAAGCGCACGUAGGCGGAUAUUUAAGUCAGGGGUGAAAUCCCAGAGCUCAACUCUGGAACUGCCUUUGAUACUGGGUAUCUUGAGUAUGGAAGAGGUAAGUGGAAUUGCGAGU